rnacentral:lncRNA from 1 species
ACCCUGCCUGCAAGGACCCAGGUAAGGGCGCCGAGAGAGGCUCGAGAAGGAAGCAUGCUCUGGUUGGGAGAUCUCAAAUUCCCUGAUGACUGGAGAGGAGUCGUUGGGGACAAAAGGGAAAGGGAGGAGCUGACAUUUAUUCUGGGCUCAGUGUAUGCCUGGCGUUUUGUAGUUUCUAAUUUAAUCCUCACAUUCCUGGUCAUUUCUCUUUUGCAACUAAAGAUGUAUUCAUAGGACCAGAGGAGACGGCCCCUGAUGCUACUCUGCUUGUACCCUGGUUCUUCCGGUGGAUGUCCCCUUCCCAGUGAGCCCUUCCCUGACCACCAUGCUUAAAAUGGAAACCCUCCCCCAUGGCUUGGAACUCUAUUCCCCUUCUCUCCUUCCUUCUUUUCCAAAGCACCCUCAUCAAAUACAGUAAAAUAUUGGUUUGCAAGCAUAAGUCGCUCCAGAAACAUGCUUGUAAUCCAAAGCACUUAUAUAUCAAAGGAAAUUUCAAGAAUCAUUGUUGUGAUCACAUACUACUCAUAUGGCAAGACAUCACUUGUUUAUCAAGUUAAAAUUUAUUAGAAAUGUGUGUUUGUCUUGCAGAACAUUCGCAGACCAAGUUACUCGAAAGCCAAGGUUUUACUGUGUAUUAAAUAGGUCUCCCUCCCCUCCCAGAAUGUAAGCUCCACGAGAGCAGAUUUUUCCAGUCUGUUCUGUUUACUGACAUGUU